rnacentral:rRNA from 1 species
CCUGGCUCAGGACGAACGCGGCGGCGUGCCUAAUACAUGCAAGUCGAGCGCGGGAAGCAGGCAGAUCCUCUUCGGAGGUGACGCCUGUGGAACGAGCGGCGGACGGGUGAGUAACACGUGGGCAACCUGCCUGUAAGAUUGGGAUAACCCCGGGAAACCGGGGCUAAUACCGGAUAAUACUUUUCGUUGCAUAACGAGAAGUUGAAAGGCGGCUUUUAGCUGUCACUUACAGAUGGGCCCGCGGCGCAUUAGCUAGUUGGUAAGGUAACGGCUUACCAAGGCGACGAUGCGUAGCCGACCUGAGAGGGUGAUCGGCCACACUGGGACUGAGACACGGCCCAGACUCCUACGGGAGGCAGCAGUAGGGAAUCUUCCGCAAUGGACGAAAGUCUGACGGAGCAACGCCGCGUGAGUGAUGAAGGUUUUCGGAUCGUAAAACUCUGUUGUCAGGGAAGAACAAGUGCCGUUCAAAUAGGGCGGCACCUGACGGUACCUACCAGAA